rnacentral:misc_RNA from 1 species
UCCCCCGCUCAAAUUCAUAAUCUUUCGAUUCUGAACUUAAGCGGGGGCAGUUUCGCGUGACACGUAUAACACGCAAUAGGGGUUGCGCUCGUUACCCCACUUAAGGGAACACUUCAAAGCACGAGCUGACGACAACCAUGCAGCACCUGUACUAGAUGUCCUUGAGAGAAGGCCGACGUUUCCGCCAGCUGUCAUCUAGAAUUUCAAGCCCUGGUAAGGUUCUUCGCUUACUAUCGAAUUAAACCUCAUGUUCCACCGCUUGUGCGAGUCCCCGUCUAUUCCUUUGAGUUUUAAGCUUGCGCUCGUACUUCCCAGGCGGCCUGUUUAACGCGUUAGCUCCGCCGCUCCGAGGGUCGAUACUCGAAACAGCAAACAGGCAUCGUUUAGGGCGUGGACUA